UUAGAUACGAAUUAAAUGAUUUUUCAUUCUCGUCAUAUUUUCAUUAUGUUUUAAUGAUUAUAGAAGAUUUUCAUUGCGUCAUUUAUUUUAUAAUUCAUUAAAUUUCACAUUUUUGUGAUAAUUGAGAGAACCAUAUCCUUAUCCUACCCACAUAUUCUAUUCUAACUCGUUUUAUCCCAUGCACCCUUCCUUAUGACUUUCUUUUCUGUCAAUUUCUUUCAUUUUUUUUAACAAACAAUAUUAUCUACACUAACGGAGAGAGCGGUG
rnacentral:lncRNA from 1 species